AUCCCAUGAUAAGGACAGGCCGUGAUGUAUUCUUGCAGCCUUUCCCACGCUUCCAGGAUCGUCUCAUCUUUCGUUAGUUGGAAGCUGGAUAUUCUUCCAUGAAGGGC
rnacentral:snoRNA from 1 species